rnacentral:rRNA from 1 species
UACGUAGGGUGCGAGCGUUAAUCGGAAUUACUGGGCGUAAAGCGUGCGCAGGCGGUUCGUUGUGUCGGUGGUGAAAGCCCCGGGCUUAACCUGGGAAUGGCCAUGGAAACUGGCGAACUGGAGUGUGGCAGAGGGGGGUGGAAUUCCGCGUGUAGCAGUGAAAUGCGUAGAUAUCUGGAGGAACACCGGUGGCGAAGGCGGCAUCCUGGACCGGUAUUGACGCUGAGGCGCGAAAGCCAGGGGAGCCGAACGGG